ACCAAGAAACCUACCAGGAUAUGAAGACAGAACUGUAAUUAAAGUGCAUGAUGGACCAUGUGAACACUCCUCAGAUGAGUUUGAAC